CUCCUCGUAGUCUAGGCGGUCAGGAUACGUGGCUUUCACCCACGCGACCCGGGUUCGAGUCCCGGCGAGGAGG
rnacentral:tRNA from 1 species